GUCUGCAUGGUGUAGUGGUAGCACACUUCGUUUACAAGAGCGCGUCUUUUAACCCGAAUAGGUCCCAGGUUCGAACCCUGGUGCAGACA